rnacentral:rRNA from 1 species
UACGUAGGUGGCAAGCGUUGUCCGGAUUUACUGGGCGUAAAGGGCGCGCAGGCGGUCGUUCAAGUCGCGUGUGAAAGCCCCCGGCUCAACUGGGGAGGGUCACGCGAUACUGAUCGACUGGAAGGCAGGAGAGGGUAGUGGAAUUCCCGGUGUAGUGGUGAAAUGCGUAGAUAUCGGGAGGAACACCAGUGGCGAAGGCGACUACCUGGCCUGUUCUUGACGCUGAGGAGCGAAAGCGUGGGGAGCGAACAGG